AGCACCCCUUGAGGUAGUUCUUCAAAACGAACCCUCUAGGAGGGACCCUAAAGAAGAACAAUGGGGAAAAAACAAUUCAAAAACUAUAUAGAGAGGCAAUCCACUCCCUAUCAACACGACUAACUUUCUUUCCUAUAGUAUGUGUGCUUCUAUUUUUUACAAGAAAUUUGAUGUCCUUUACAAUUUUAUCUACCCCACAAAUUGUAGAAUCCCAAAACCCUUGUUCCUCACUUGCCUAAGCAUAUACACAGUAGCAGCAACUGCAGCCAACACGACUUCUUUUCUCCACUUGGAAGCCUUGUAAACACCUUUGAUCCAUCGCACAAAGCCUCAAUCACCACAGGUGGUUUGGUGUUUUAAGAUUCGGGCACAAGUUCAACGAUCUGAGUCAAUAUGUUGACUUGUCAAGGAAUUAAAGAAAGAACUUGGGCUUUGUCUUUGUAGGUCUCGAACCUCCAUGCUACCACCUACUCUACAUCACCCCUCCACCUUAUCCUACACCACUAAUACAUCCUAUCCUACACAACACCUUCACCGCAUCUCCAUCACUGCUCCCCUUCCCUUCAAUAUUCACGCACACCAUCAAACCAAGCCCACCACCAACAUCUAAUCACCACCAAAAUAUUCAAUCAUCACUGUCAUUGUAUCAACACCACCAACAACAACAACAAAAACUCAAUCAAAAUCGAGCACAAAAAUACAGAGAAAACAGAGCAAAAAGCAGAGCAAAAACAGAACAAUUCGGGUUCGACCGAACCCAUAACGGAGUUCGAACGAACCGAAAAUUUAGAGUUCCUGAUUGUAUGAGGUUCGGUCGAACCCGAAUGAAGUUCGCUCAAACCAGAACGAAGUCCGGCCGAAGCUCCAUUGUGUUCGGACAAACAAUUGAGCGCGUUUUGGUACAAAAUUAAUGAAGCUCGACGGCUACGAUUCAAUUGACGAUCGACGGUUGCAAUUUGAUUGAUGAAGAUGAACGGAGGCGAUUAGGGUAUGGCUGAUGAUUGAAGAUGAUGAUGGACCGUUGAUGAAGAUCGAUGGCAGAGGAUGAUGGUCGUUGAUGAAUGAUGAUGGUGGUGGGUGGUGGCUAAGGAGAUGAGGCGCAGCGAAGCAGGAGAUCCCCACCUCCUUUAAUUGGAGCAGCGUAGCAGGGUAGCAGAAAGAAGAAAAGGGACGAAGAUGAGAGGACUAGGGGGUCUGAUUGGUUUUGGAAAAAAGGGGAGCUACGGGGUUUUUGGGGUUUUGCAAGGAGUGAAACAAAAGGAGGGUGGUUUUCCUCCUUUUCUUUCUUUAUCUCUUUAACUCUUUUCCCUUUUCUUUUUCCGAGCGAUUUCCUUCAAUAUUGUUUGAUGAUUCGUAAAUUCCCAAAAUAUGCUACUUUUUCACUUAUUUCCCACUUUACUGUCCACGUCAGCAAGAAAGCCGGUCUAAUUUUUUUUAUAAAAUCUACAAUAAACCGCUAUCUGAAACAGCGGUUUAAAGAGGUAAACC